rnacentral:lncRNA from 12 species
GUGGCAGUAAAGAGAAGAACCUGACUGACCUGAAUCUAACUAAGGACUCUCAUUUUUGUGCGUUCCCUUGGCCCUCUGUACCAAAGCAUGGAGCAGCACCAAGAGCAGACGCCGAGGUGAGAGCAGCAGGUUUGGCACAGCAGAGGCAGCAUCAGGAGCCUCAGCAGGAGCAGGGAACACUUUUUGUGUUCCCACUGCGUCACAAAGCCAGCACGCUCUCGGCUU